UAAACGCCACGUUGGCCAGACCCUCUUACCCGGAUGGAGCGUCUCCGCCAACCUCGCUGCGUCAUCCCCCUGGCGUCUUUCCUUUCCCUAGAUCACUAUCAUCCUGGACGCUAGGCCCUACUGACAACCGGCGUCGGGUGCGACGCUGCACAAUGGCGACGAGGACUUGGAAGAACUUGCCGUGCCUCAGAUGCAGUAAGUGACAACGUAAAGUUUGGCGUCUCGGAAGACGACGACGACGAAGUACACGAGCUAGCUGCACAGACGCUUGGUACAAGCGUGCCUCACGCGGUGAGAGCUCGCGCUCGCUUGUUCCAGCGCCUGAGCUACGGUCUGCCGACACGCUCCCUAUUCCUCGGAAUUUAUCUUCGGCAGCCGCCAGUGGCUGUGCAGGCGCAACUAUUCGCGGCGAGGCAGUCUCGGGGCUUGCUGGCUUGCAACCGACACUCCGCCGACUUCGAGGAACGGGAUGGCGCAUGACGAUCGAUGCCCGACUUUGGACAGCGGCCAGCUCCGGCUCCUGGAAAUCCUGGCUCAUGACAGCGCGCAUUUCCAACGAUGCAUCCUACGUGCGUGACAUGCGGGCAACACCAACAAGCAGUCACGGUACCUAGCAGAGAGAAGGCCUGGUGUCUUCAGCAAGCCUAUAGAGCUGUUGCAGCUGGUGGUUCUGUCACCGGGCACACUUGAUCUUCGCCAUCUUCACCUUUGUGUUGGCCGGCACUGUUCCACUCAUCGGACUGGACGUACUGCGGAAGCGGUGCACGAUGAGUCCAGUUGAUGAAGAGCCCCGCUCCGCGAGCCCGGCAGAUACCGUGGGCAAGACCACGUGGGCCCCGCGUAUAGUCGGCCCCUGCCUUGCGGAAGCGUGGCGCGGCUGCGCUCAUGACAGUGCGCUUUUCUGACGAUGCAUCCUACGUGCCUGGCAUUGGGUGGACGCCAAGAAGCAGGCCCAGUACCAAGCCGGGGGCACGCCUGGUGUCUUUAACAAACCUAUAAAGGUGCUUCGGCUAGUGCUGCAUUCGCCGGGCGUGGUGAUAUUGGCCAUCUUCACCUUUGUGAUGGCCGGCACUGUUCCACUCAUCGGACUGGACGUACUGCGGAAGCGGUGCACGGCUCAUGACAGCACGCAUUUCUAACGAUGCAUCCUGCGCGCGUUACAUGCGGGCGACACCAACAAGCACUCACGGUACCUAGCAGAGAGCACGACUGGUGUCUUUAGCAAACCUAUAAAGGACAUAUUAUUUGUGAAGCGCUGCAUGGAGCGUCCGGAAGAGACAAAAGAUGUCGCCACAAACCCGGAAGAGAGAAUCAGGAAGACGAUGUUUGCCCGCUGGAUACUCGUCGUUCGCCUAACAUUCAUGGCUGUGCGCAAUUCUGACAAUGCAUCCUGCAUGCGUGACAUUGCGGCGGCGCCAAGUGCCAAGGGCAAGUGACUAGCCGAGACACACGACCUGGUGUCUUUCGCAAGCCUCUAACAGCUCGUGACAGCGCGCAUUUCUAACGAUGCAUCCUGCGUGCGUGACAUUUGGGGUGGUGCAGAGAGCACACACAGCACCUAGCAGAGAGCACGACUGGUGUCAUUAGCAAACCUAUAAAUAUUCAUGGCUGUGCGCAAUUCUGACAAUGCAUCCUGCAUGCGUGACAUUGCGGCGGCGCCAAGUGCCAAGGGCAAGUGACUAGCCGAGACACACGACCUGGUGUCUUUUGCAAGCCUCUAACAGCUCAUGAAAGUGCGCUUUUCUAACGAUGCAUCCUGCGCGCGUGAAAUUGGGGCGACGCCAACAAGCAGGCCCAGUACCAAGCCGAGAACACGCCGGGUGUCUUUAGCAAACCUAUAAAGGCGGUGUGGUUCCGCUAAUCGGACUGGCCGUACUCCGAAAGCGCUGGACUGAGCGGCUAGAAGAGAAAGGACACAGCGUCACGACCCCGGCAGAUACCUCAGGCAAGACCACGUUCGCACUCCGGAUACUCGUUGUCGUCCUUACACUCGCGAACAGUGCGCAUUUCUCACGAUGCAUCCAGCAUGCAUGACAUUGGGGCAGCGCCUAAGAAGCCGGCGCAGUAUUUAGCCUAGACAUUGCCUGGUGCCUUCGGAAGCCUGUGACGAACAACGAACAGCGCGCAUUUCUCACGAUGCAUCCAGCGUGCAUGACAUUAGGCUGGCGCCAAAGAAGCCAGCGCAGUACAUGGCCGAUACAUCGCCUGGUGUCUUCGGAAGCCUGUGCCGACCAACGAACAGUGCGCAUUUCUCACGAUGCAUCCAGCUUGCAUGACAUUAGCCUGGCGCCAAAGAAGCCAGCGCAGUACAUGGCCUAUACAUUGCCUGGUGUCUUCGGAAGCCGGUGACGAACAACGAACAGCGCGCAUUUCUCACGAUGCAUCCAGCGUGCAUGACAUUAGGCUGGCGCCAAAGAAGCCAGCGCAGUACAUGGCCGAUACAUCGCCUGGUGUCUUCGGAAGCCUGUGCCGGUAAGUGUGCUCUUAUAGGUGACGAUAAUAAUGUGCGGGCAUAGCGUACGUUUUAUCUAAUAGUAGCGCCGACAUUCCUGAAUGUCGAUUUCUUUUGCAGUGACGUAAUAAUACUGAUCCGUGGUUUAUAAUUCAGACAAAUGGGACGUUGGACGACUGCUUAAAAGAAAUGUUCGAGUUUCUCAGCGCCUACUCUGAUCGAACAUCUAUCUGUCUCUAACUUCGGGCACCUUUUGUGCGUUCCAAGUUGUCUCUUUCAUUUUUCGUUCCUCAGACCAACGAACAGUGCGCAUUUCUCACGAUGCAUCCAGCUUGCAUGACAUUAGCCUGGCGCCAAAGAAGCCAGCGCAGUACAUGGCCUAUACAUUGCCUGGUGUCUUCGGAAGCCGGUGACGGCCAACGAACAGUGCGCAUUUCUCACGAUGCAUCCAGCGUGCAUGACAUCGCCGAUACAUGGCCGAUACAUUGCCUGGUGUCGUUAGGAAGCCUGUGACAACCAACGAACAGUGCGCAUUUCUCACGAUGCAUCCAGCGUGCAUGACAUCGCCGAUACAUGGCCGAUACGUUGCCUGGUGUCGUUAGGAAGCCGGUGACAACCAACGAACAGUGCGCAUUUCUCACGAUGCAUCCAGCGUGCAUGACAUUGGGGUGGCGCCAAAGAAGCCAGCGCAGUACAUGACCGAUACAUUGCCUGGUGUCUUUAGGAAGCCGGUGCCGAUUUGAAUCAAGUCUUCCUACUCAGUUCAAAUGAAAAGGCUUGCUACCUGCGGCAUCCAAACGUCUUCGCCGGCUCGCAGUGCAACAGGACGUCGAAGACGACCUCAGCGGGUCCACGGAGGCUGAUUUCCAGGCGCAUGCAUCAUGGGUUCGGUCCUCCUGGAGUGAGGCACACAAGGCGUCUCGGCACCUGCAUAUAUUCGUGAGCUGCACCCUGACGGAGUCCGGAUCGCCUGCGGUGACCGCACACACACCCACCGCAGGAAGGUCAUCUGCGCACACUCUGAGCCAUUCGAUCGGCUUCCAUAUACGCAGCUCUUUACAACAAACCAAGGCAAGGUGCUGCAGUGCAUCACCGAUGACCCCGCCAGCUCGCAGUUCAUGCACACCGGGUCUGUUACCCGGUUUGAAGACUGCAUAUAUGGAAGCCGAUCGAACUCUGAGCCAUUCGAUCGGCUUCCAUAUAUGCGGCUCUUUACAACGAACCAAACCAAGGGAAGGUGCUGCAGUGCAUCACCGACGACCCCGCCAGCUCGCAGGUUAUGCACGCCGGGUCUGUUACCCGGUUUGAGGACUGGCGUUUCGUCCACAAAGCCAGGCUCAACCUACUACCUCUAAACAGAUCCGGCAUGUGGGAGACAGGCCGCGAGCAGCGCUGCACGACCUUUGUGUGCAUCAAGAAGACGCUGCCCCACGUCCUCUGCCACUGCAGGCAUAGCACCACUCGCCACAAGAAGAUCGUGGCUCUCGACGCUAAGAUUUCGCCUGUGCAUCAACACCUUGCACUACGGUACCGACGUCGUUGGCGCCGUUGCACUCUAAGACCCAAAAACUAUCCGUCAAUGCGAAAAUUUUCCUCACGAUCCUAUCUUGAUCUCUUUGAAAAAGUUGGUCGUGAGUGAAGAUAUAUCAGCAUCACGUGAGAUUUAUCAUCACUACUUGGCUCAUCACAAGCCCUGUGGACACCUUGACCUGGAACUGUGACAUGACUCAUGUUAUUUGAUACUUUCGCUCGCCAUCUUUCUCUAAUUUUUUGUUCCUCACCACUUUAUUUUCUAUACAGUGAAUUACUGCAGAAAAUGCUUGUCUUUGGUGCGACCGAAAGUGCCGUUAUGAAACAAUGGAAUAAAAAAA